rnacentral:rRNA from 1 species
UACGGAGGUGGCAAGCGUUGUCCGGAAUUACUGGGCGUAAAGGGCGUGUAGGCGGCCUUUUAAGUCAGACGUGAAAACCCUGGGCUUAACCCAGGACCUGCGUUUGAUACUGAAGGGCUUGAGGACCGGAGAGGACAGUGGAAUUCCCAGUGUAGCGGUGAAAUGCGUAGAUAUUGGGAGGAACACCAGUGGCGAAGGCGACUGUCUGGACGGCACCUGACGCUGAGGCGCGAAGGCCAGGGGAGCAAACGGG